AUUUUCUUCUCCGCAGCCCACUCCCUGAAAGCAAAGCGUGCCGCCCUCCGCGGCGAGACCAGUUAGACUCGAAAUGUUUGCCGCUAAAUUGUUCGUGAAAUCGUCCAUGUAUGUGUUUUGUAGUCUUUAUUUAAACACUUGACUUGAAGGCGCAGCAGGAAACGCGUUGCACUAAAAGCCUCACGUGUGAGCAGCGUGGCUAGGCCGCACCAACGAGGAGGAAAAUGUGAAGACGAUCAACUCGCUUUGGAUGCGAUGUUGCAAGGUUGGUUGCACGCCAACACGUGGUCGGAGCUGUUCAGAUGACACUGCUCUAUGAAGGAGCUGGACAUGUGGCAUGUGGGUGGAUGGAUCUCUGAAGCAUACUGAUCAGGCUUGUGUAUCUGUCAUCUCUGAAAUGUUUACCUGAUCUCAAAAAAUAAAAGCCUUUGUCUCCAAA